rnacentral:rRNA from 1 species
GAUGAACGCUGACAGCAUGCUUAACACAUGCAAGUCUUUGGCUAAGCUUUGCUCGCACAGCCUAGCCUAGGCAGACGGUUGAUUAACCCUUAAGGAACUUCCCCCGCAGUCAGGGAUAACAGACGGAAACGACUGAUAAGCCCUGUUUAAGUCAUGCGCGCUCAUUUCCAUCCUGAUGAAAAUUGGUGCUGCAGGAGAGCCUUGCGUCCUAUUAGCUUGUUGGUGGGGUAACGGCCCACCAAGGCGAUGAUAGGUAGCCGGCCUGAGAGGGUGGACGGCCACAAGGGGACAGAGAUACGGCCGAUACUCCUACGGGAGGCAGCAGGGGAGAAUAGUGGAAAGGGGGGGCAACUGUGGUAGAGAAGUUCUGCGUGGAAGAAGAAGGUUUUCGGAGUGAAAAGUGCUUUCAGCAGAGAAGAAAAAAAUGACGGUACCUGCAGAAGAAGCGACGGCUAAAUACGUG